rfam:Schistosoma mattheei strain Denwood, Zambia genome assembly, scaffold: SMTD_scaffold0000681
AUUCAGCUGAAGAGUCCCAAAUGGAACGAAACAUGUGUCCUGGAU